GACGAACGCUGGCGGCGUGCUUAACACAUGCAAGUCGAACGGAAAGGCCCUGCUUUUGUGGGGUGCUCGAGUGGCGAACGGGUGAGUAACACGUGAGUAACCUGCCCUUGACUUUGGGAUAACUUCAGGAAACUGGGGCUAAUACCGGAUAGGAGCUCCUGCUGCAUGGUGGGGGUUGGAAAGUUUCGGCGGUUGGAGAUGGACUCGCGGCUUAUCAGCUUGUUGGUGGGGUAGUGGCUUACCAAGGCUUUGACGGGUAGCCGGCCUGAGAGGGUGACCGGCCACAUUGGGACUGAGAUACGGCCCAGACUCCUACGGGAGGCAGCAGUGGGGAAUAUUGCACAAUGGGCGGAAGCCUGGUGCAGCAACGCCGCGUGCGGGAUGACGGCCUUCGGGUUGUAAACCGCUUUCGCCUGUGACGAAGCGUGAGUGACGGUAAUGGGUAAAGAAGCACCGGCUAACUACGUG
rnacentral:rRNA from 1 species